GACGAACGCUGGCGGCGUGCUUAACACAUGCAAGUCGAACGGAAAGGCCCUGCUUUUGUGGGGUGCUCGAGUGGCGAACGGGUGAGUAACACGUGAGUAACCUGCCCUUGACUUUGGGAUAACUUCAGGAAACUGGGGCUAAUACCGGAUAGGAGCUCCUGCUGCAUGGUGGGGGUUGGAAAGUUUCGGCGGUUGGGGAUGGACUCGCGGCUUAUCAGCUUGUUGGUGGGGUAGUUGCUUACCAAGGCUUUGACGGGUAGCCGGCCUGGGCGGGUGACCGGCCACAUUGGGACUGAGAGAUGGCCCAGACUCCAACGGGAGGCAGCAGUGGGGAAUAUUGCACAAUGGGCGGAAGCCUGAUGCAGCAACGCCGCGUGCGGGAUGACGGCCUUCGGGUUGUAAACCGCUUUCGCCUGUGACGAAGCGUGAGUGACGGUAAUGGGUAAAGAAGCACCGGCUAACUACGUG
rnacentral:rRNA from 1 species